rnacentral:rRNA from 1 species
UUCGGUGAUUUGAGCAGAAGUGCACUACCUCUUUCCAUUCCGAACAGAGUCGUAAAAGCUUCUAGCGUUGAUGGUACUGCCGUCUCCAAGGCGGUGGGAGAGUAGAUCAUCGCCGAAU